ACGCAACAGAGAUGGAAACGGAGCCGACCGACUUCUGCGCUGGCCUCUCCCAAGCCGUUCCAUAAUUAUCCAGCCCCCUCCUUCCCCUCCUCUGCUCCCCUCCGCACGCCGAUCCGCGAAUCCUCCCCGGAGCCGCCGCCAUGCCCCCUCACGCCGAAUUGCCGUGCGCUCCAAUUUUGCCUCGCCUGGUGCACCCCCGCCGGAAUCAGAUUUUGCCGUGCCCGGCCCUUGAGCGUUCCCCCGGCGCCUACCUUGGCGGGGCUGAUGAUCCAUAAAGCUGCGAUUUUUACACAUGGAUGAUUCGGAUGGCAGGCAUAGGGAAUUGACGGCUGAUGCGAGCAUGAAUGAAUCGCAAAAGAACAUGAAUGAAUCGUACGGAGUAGCCAUGCCAUAUUGGUUAUUGCAUAUUUCUGAAGACGUGUGGUUGAUUUCCCUGGGGGUUUUCUGUCUGUCACCCUAGAUGAAGCCAGGAGGGCAUCUAACUGACGGUACCUGUUCCUGCCCUCAGCCUCUGCAUAUAUGAAAAUAAGCGACUUUCUAUUCAUUCAGAUGUUCCAAAACAUUGUUCCUGCAGAGGGCUCUGCGUGGAACGGUGAAGUAGGGGCUGUGGCUGUGCAAGCAGCUCUGAGAAGCAAAUCUAUAAUGAAGAUCCUGCACAGGGAAUGAGUUGUCAUUUAGUACCAAGACUGGUUGGUUUACCCUCUGAAGCAUCGAUACGUCUAAGAACUGCCGUUUCCCCCUUCAGGACAUGGCUCCUACGGUGACACGCAGGAUACGGCAGCGAUAUGCGUAUCUUAGGGGGUAUCACGUUUUUUGAUUUAAAGAAAAAAAAACGAUUAGCCACUUGGGACCUGUCAACACACAGCAGCCCAAGCCUAAUAGAAGCCCGCUUCUAACCUGCAUGUUCUCUCUCUAUUCGUUCUAUUGACCAGACCAGGGCAGCGAAUUGGAAUGAGGGCACCUCGAGUCACCUUCGGCAAGGGAGUGAGUCAAGUGACAUAUUGACAUAUGGACAUUCAAUUACGGGGAUUGAGGAAAUUAACGAUCAUUCGACUUGAAAAGAGGCAUGAGGGCAACAAAAGUUGCAGUAUUUUGAUCCCAUUUCAUCUCAAGCAUACAUCUUUCUAGGUAUUGGACAUGCGAUGGCAACAUCGUGUUAUGUCAAAUAAACAUUUGAGUUGGACUCCAGCUUUUUGUCUCCAAACAAAUCACAGAAGAACAAGACAUGAACAUCAAGUAGGAGGUUCAUGAAGAAAGCUCUUUGGCACCCCAGACCGCACAUCCAACUGAAUCUUGAGACCUGUUGAUUUCCUGACAGGAUCUUUCAGAGAAAAGGCUGUUUAGCACACACAGUGUGUUUCUGAUAUUUGUUAUAUUCCGUUUACUACCCAGAGAUCCAAAAAAUCAACUCUACUGGGUUAAACUGAAGGAGAAAAAAAUGUUCUGGACACCCUAAAUUUGUUCUACUUUUUACUGCA